AUUCCAAACAGAGGGAGUAGAUAUUUAGUCCCUUUCGCUUCUAGAAACAUUUAAUAACAAAGACUUUCUUUUGCGGAAUAAAAGUAAACCAUAGCCAAAGAUGAUAAUUGACUCGAUCAUCAAUACAAUAAUCCAAUGAAGUAGAUAGACCUCACCAAGAAGAAUUUUGAUUAUUUAUUUCUUGGUUGUCCUCUCCACUUCGAGAUAAACAUAGAUAAGACAUAAAAAAUCUGAACUCAAUAAAUGUCUAAAUCCAGAGGCAAAAAAAUCAUUUGGAACGGCUCGAUUUGAAGCGAUCCCCAACAUGUAUCCCACUGAAGUGAGGGAGACGAUUCUGCUAGACCCGCUUUUUCAACCAAAAUCGCCAGACAUUCCUACGUUAUGUCUCAUCUCCUCUCUUGGUGUGUUUCUACCAUCUCUUGUAGAGAUAAGAUCCCGUCCCCUGUGGAUAUGCAUCUCGGACACUUGCGAGUCCACUCCCGGAAUUUCUUUGGCAGCGUACACUGUACAGCGCCUAGAGCUUUGAUAUUUUAGCAUGGAAUAAGAAACAAGAGAUAUUCGUUGCCAUGGAUUGGACGGUGAAAGGGAUGGGCGAUGGCUACCAUCGGCAUCAUCACCGGCCACCUGUUUCUUCUCUGUUGCUUUACUUGCACGGUUGCAACACCAAUUCCUUCAGCUUUCACUUUCGGCCCUUAUGACGCUCUCCUACUCCAAGCAAGAGGUCGGUCCAGAUUCGUGCCCGUUAAAGCAGACAGGAAGGAAGAAGGCUCCGCCUCAUCAAGGUCUUUAUUCAGUGAGGGAGUGCCUCUGAGUUGGACGCCAUGGUGCCGUGGAGGCUGGAGGCGCGACUGGCAGAGACGGUGAGGGCAGCGCUCCUCGGCUGGCUCUUCUUCUGCAUCACCGUCGCCAGCGAUGUCGCAUAUGCGCUCAGAAGCAGCGAUCUCUCCAUCUAAGGCCGGCCACGUUCAACAUCGCCGGCUGCCUUUUCAACUCUGCGCCUACAAAGUGGCAGUUCAUUGGACACGCAGGAAGAAAAUUGAUUUACAGCAGUGUAACCAGACAGUGAGUUCAUCCAUGAGAGAAUGAGUUCAACGUAAAGGUGAAAUAUUCAUAUAGAUUAGAUGUAAAAUCUUGUAUCAAACAGAGAAAUACUGGCUAUUGCUCAAAGUGGCCUGACUUUCAAACAAAGGUAGCAUAGAUAGCGCUGGUGCAACUUAGUAAUUAACAAUAUAGCUGGUGCAUCGGAA